AAGGCUUUAAGUUAAAUAAACUAAUAGCCUUCAAAGCUGUAAAUAAAGAAAUUCCUUUAAGCCUUA